AAGCACGUGCACGCCCACGAGGAUGCACAUAUCCACAAAAGUGCUGCGUUGCCCUUCACGCAUGCACACAAGCGUGCACACAAGCACGCCUUCCCCAGCCAGUCCAUGGGGCUAAAAAGGUUGGGAACCACUGCCAUAAAGGAACCACUGGCCUGAGCUUCCAAUAAGCUGAGCAGGGUUGUUGACAUGACAUUUUGAAUAUUGCUCACUUAUUGAAACACCAGAAGUCAGAACCGCCUUGACAGCACAUAACAACAAUAACAAAAGUCUGGCUUUGAAUCCCUGUCCACAGUGACUUGUCUGUACUGCUCAAUUUAGACUGCUUUUCUAGCAACUACCGGCUCUUAAACAGUUACAUGUCAGAAAGGCUUUACGUCAUCCAAUUUAAAAUGGAGUAUCUUUACUUCUCAAUUUUUUUCAUUAAGGAUGCUGGAGAAUUUUAUUUCACAAAGUACACUGUGGGAGCAAAAGAUUUCCCCAACUCUAUUGCAAGACAGCUAUAUUCCAAGCAGACGAAGAGACCAAUCAGAGAGCAGCAGCAUCUAAACAGGAAGAACUCUGGAGGGUUUUACAUCAUAAAUGACGGGGGUUGAAACAUCUGAAAGAAGGUGCCGCUGCAGGGAGACAAAGAGGAAUGGAGAAGAGAUACUGACUGGCUGAAGGGCGAGAAUCCAAAAAAACACACACGCUUCACAAACAGAAAUGUGGAAGAAAAGGCUGCUGACACCGAGAAGAUAAAAUGGCACCCAAAAAAGCCCCAGCAGCAGACAAGAACAAAGAUGCCAAGGGGAAGUCUGAUGAUGCCAAGCCUGCAGAUGACAAAGGAGAAAAAAAAACACUGUUUCAAAAAAUAAAGGAUUUUUGGGCAAGUCCAAUGGGUAUAUAUGUGGCUAUAGUAUUCACCAUCAUCCUUGUUGUCAUGGCAAUAGGAAGUGCCCUUGUGUGUCUGAAUGAGGCGAGCAGAACAGCUGACCUACGAUAUGCAAUGGAGCUUGUUAAGAAAUUUAUGAUGACAAAAGAUCCAAGCUAUGAAACUAGGGAUGGUAAGUACGGUAAUGAAUUCAAGUAUUUCCGAUUCUUUCCACCAGGUACUCUACCUAGAAUACAUCCACCGAGCAGAUAUCCAUGUGCAAUCUCUGACGUCAGUUUAGAGAAAGGUCAAGUUAAUAACUGGGUUAGAUGGGAACAAUGGUGAUUGGAAGAAGAAC
rnacentral:lncRNA from 1 species